rnacentral:tRNA from 1 species
GCGCGUAUGGCGGAAUUGGCAGACGCACUAGACUUAGGAUCUAGCGCCUUUGGCGUGGGGGUUCAAGUCCCUCUACGCGCA